ACGAACGCUGGCGGCGUGCCUAAUACAUGCCCGUUGAGCGCUGAAGGUUGGUACUUGUCCCCACUGGAUGAGCAGCGAACGGGUGAGUAACGCGUGGGGAAUCUGCCUUUGAGCGGGGGACAACAUUUGGAAACGAAUGCUAAUACCGCAUAAAAACUUUAAACACAAGUUUUAAGUUUGAAAGAUGCAAUUGCAUCACUCAAAGAUGAUCCCGCGUUGUAUUAGCUAGUUGGUGAGGUAAAGGCUCACCAAGGCGAUGAUACAUAGCCGACCUGAGAGGGUGAUCGGCCACAUUGGGACUGAGACACGGCCCAAACUCCUACGGGAGGCAGCAGUAGGGAAUCUUCGGCAAUGGACGAAAGUCUGACCGAGCAACGCCGCGUGAGUGAAGAAGGUUUUCGGAUCGUAAAACUCUGUUGGUAGAGAAGAACGUUGGUGAGAGUGGAAAGCUCAUCAAGUGACGGUAACUACCCAGAAAGGGACGGCUAACUACGUG
rnacentral:rRNA from 1 species